UGGGGAAUAUUGCACAAUGGGCGCAAGCCUGAUGCAGCCAUGCCGCGUGUAUGAAGACGGCCUUCGGGUUGUAAAGUACUUUCAGCGAGGAGGAAGGCAUUAAGGUUAAUCACCUUGGUGAUUGACGUUACUCGCAGAAGAAGCACCGGCUAACUCCGUGCCAGCAGCCGCGGUAAUACGGAGGGUGCAAGCGUUAAUCGGAAUUACUGGGCGUAAAGCGCACGCAGGCGGUCUGUCAAGUCGGAUGUGAAAUCCCCGGGCUCAACCUGGGAACUGCAUUCGAAACUGGCAGGCUAGAGUCUUGUAGAGGGGGGUAGAAUUCCAGGUGUAGCGGUGAAAUGCGUAGAGAUCUGGAGGAAUACCGGUGGCGAAGGCGGCCCCCUGGACAAAGACUGACGCUCAGGUGCGAAAGCGUGGGGAGCAAACA
rnacentral:rRNA from 1 species